GUUCUGUGUGUUUUACUUGACCUUGGCUCCCAGGCCCUGCUGUGUAUGCCUCCUAACGGGGGAGAUCUCCUCGUGUCUCUCAGGCCCUUGGUAUGGGCAGAUACCGGGGGAGAACUUCAAAGUGUCUCCUGUGUGCGGCUCUCCCGUUCUUGAAGAUGCUGCCAGCCUGGGAAAUGGGGCCUUCGGCUCCGGCCUUGACCUGACUAUAUUCUCAUGUAUGUGUUAUGUGUUAAAAGUUGACUAUAUUGUAAGUUGACUGCCAUGUGAUGUGCUCAUUAAUCUAGGGUAGGAGUUAGCUAUACUUAUAAUGUACAUGUGAUGUACUCAGCAGGUUAUUUUGCCCAACAUAUCCCCCUCAAGUCGUCGCAAGACGACUUUUACUCAUUAGGGGUACGAGGGAUAGGACUCCAGCGCGGGACUACCAUUAUAACAAUAUUAGAAAUAACAGAAAGAAGGCAAAUGACCAUAAAAACAAAUAACCAUGAGCCUGGGAUGAAAACAGCUCGCUGGACCGGGUGUAUGGGGAACCACUUGGGAGAAACGCCACCCAUGCUUCAGGCAUGGGCAUGCCAUACACACCCCACCUAGGGGGUGGCAUCCACCCCGGCCCUACAUUGCGAGCAAACAAUACCAACAAUAAUAGUAGCAGAUAAUACACAAAACAUACCAUAAACAUACAAUAAUACAAAAACCAACACCAAAAAACAACAACCAACAACAAAGCUGGCCACAUAACAAAACCAACACCAAACCAUAACAAUAACAACAAAAUGCAACAAUAAAACAAACUCCAAACAUAACAACAAAAUGCAACAAUAAAACAAACUCCAAACAUAACAACAAAAUGCAACAAUAAAACAAACAGUAAACAAGAACAAUAUAAAAAUGCAACAAUCACACAAAUACUACACUAACGAUCACAGGAAAGAAAUGUAACCACGAAACGUGUCCCUAAAUAAUAGCGAAGAUAUGAGGCGGAUAACGAAUGGCAAUCCCCCUCAACCCAUCCCUAGAGGACCACACACUAAGGAUGUGAGGAGGAGUUGACUGGUCGUGUUACAACAAGCAAUCACACGCAUGGGGCAUCCAGGGUAGGCUCGGGGCACGGGAACAACUGAAACCAUGGAAUAGUCCUGAGCGUCAUCAUGGGCAGGUGGUCGCAAGGCGCCACCUGAGCAUUAGACCCUUUUAUUCAACUGCGCUCAGGACCUCAUCUGAUAAACGGGCAAUCAAGGCCCCUGGAAUCUCGCCCGUGUGUAUCCCCGAGCUCCAUCUAGUGGGACAGCGAUAUAAACAACAACAUCUACGUUCCCGGCGUCGGUUUGCUUAGACGCGGGCAUAGAUAUGGGAGCGGCUAAAAACAGUGAAGCGUACAGAAGCGAAUACAGCCAGGGGUGCCCUCAAGCCUUAAGGGAGCGGGCCGCAGCCCCUGGUACCGGAACGCAGAUCCCUGGUCCGGGCGUCGUGGGUGCCUCAGGUGGGAGGGGGGUGAUGCCGUUGGCGGGGACGGGAAUGGGGCAGCCCACCUGGAGAGGGAAGGGGUGUUGCGGUGGGGUGUCAGCCGACGGUGAUGGAAACAGGACGCUGGGGCCGUGCAUCUGGAGAGGCCACUCGCACUCACGGGUAGAUGUCCGGCUCGGCGGGGACACAGUCGUCGGCGGGGGUUGGGAGUGUGUAGGGGAGCUCGUACUCUGUAGUUGGUGGUGGGGUCCGUUUGCAGUGGCUGGGAUGGGAAAAGGGGGGGGAGGUCAGGUGAUCUUCAUGUAUUGGUGCGCUGCAUGGCGUGGGGGCUCUUGGACAAUGGUGCAGGAGGUCUAUUCUAUGUUCUCCAGCCAGAUCAGGUCGGGCCCCUCUGGUGGUCCCUCGUCCAAACUCUCCGGUGUAUACUCGAUCCCCAGGUAAGCUUGGAUGGCACCUGCUGCACCUGUAGCGCCCAUCGCUCAUUGGGCUCUCCAUCCAUCCUGUGAAGGGGUCAUUAAUGCCGGAGCUCUCUGCCAACUCUAAUCUGAGGGACUGUAACCCUGCUGAAAUUUGAUUGCAUCAUCCUUGGGUAGUUGGUCGGCUCCGGGCGUGUCUGCAUCUGGCUCCUCCUCUGGCCCUGGAACUUUGUGUUUCUCUUGCUGGAAUUACAAACUUAUGUACAACAGUUAGAUGUUCAAACAUAUUUUCCUUAAUUCUAUUUCUAAUUACUCUAAUGGAAGUCCCUCUUGGGACCCUCGAAUGUUAAGUGAAGGCAUUGGUCGACCCGUAAACAUUUCAUGCGGGGUUAGAUGCGUCGUUCUGUUAGUUUUCAUGCGAUAACUCAUUAGUGUCAGUCGUAGUGCAGUAGUCCUUUAAUUUAGUACUCUAAUUUAAUUUUGUUAAUCUUUGUCUUAAGCGUCCCAUUCCUCUCUCCACCAUACCUUGUGGUUGAGGAUUGGGGCGUAAUCUAGUCUUUAUUUGACAUGCAAAUGUUGAAUCACUUGUUUGAGUGUUCUCUGAACAAACGUUUUGUCUGAGCUUAUUUCUGACGGAAUUCCAAACCUUGUCUUGACUUCUCCAGUCAGAAACUUGAUUACUGUAGUCCCACUUUGGUCUUUUGAUGGGAUGGCUUUACCCAUCUGUUGAACACUGUAUUUCACACUCAUUUAGCCGGAUGUCAAUCAUUGUUUGCAAGUAUGGUGAAGAAAAACCUUGUUUUCUAAUUAUUAUUAUUAUUAUUAUUAUUUUUUUUAAUUCUCCUCAAUACCUCACCCCUUGCGCAACGGUCAAAACCAUGCGCAUUAAAUGAUAAGCAAAUCUAAGAACGCCGUUGGUGCAACCAACGUCGAAACGUCUAACCUUAACCAUCAGCAAAUUAAAGCCAAUCUUUUGGGAAGGGAAAUCGAAACCAGUAUGUCCAAAUCCAAAGCCCAAUAUGGGUGGGUUUACC
ensembl:lncRNA